rnacentral:lncRNA from 1 species
GCACAAAUGGUCAACAUGCAAGAUAUGUUGAGCAUUUGGACCGAUUCAUAUAAAAACCCCAAGUUUUGGAGCAAAGAUCCUCUUUUUGCUGUGAAUACUGGAACGUAAUAGUAGUGCGCGCGUGUGUAGCAUUUAAUAGAAUUGAGGUUAGCGUUGAUAAUGCCUCAUUUUAGUGGAAUUAUUGUUAAUUAGUGUUUUCUCUCUUCUUUUAGUAGUGGUUAGUAAGUUUAGACAUGCAACAUUGAAGUUAAAAAGAACAGUUAGUAGUACAAAAAGUGUGUUAGUAGUACAAAAAACACUUGUUGCUAAGUCUAAAUCAUGCGUCGAAACAAUCGUGUGAGAAAUAAUUCGUAAAAACCUACAAGAAAAGGUCCACACAUUGGGCCUUUUCUUUUUAUCUGUGGCCUUUUUGGCAGAACCACGACAGUUAGUGCGGAGUGCGCGUCCAUCUUGAAGUCCAGUCCAGCAGAAAGUAGAAGGGUGUAAACCGUUACUACUUUACACGGUUAGCGUCCCAAAACCGCCAUCUUGCCCUACCUUCAGGAUUCAUCAAGGCCAAUGAGUCCAACUUCGAUAAGCCAACCACAUUCUGCACAAGCCCGAUGAUGAGCGGACUGAUCACCCGCUCGUCGAUACCCGUCAAGCCGUUCAACCACCAACACACCAGCAGUUCUACAACAGCCCAUCAGAGCACAUCCAAAACCGCAAGUAAAACCACCCAAAAUGUGACGUCACAAUAAAUAAUUGUAAUAAUGAGA